UACGAAGGGUGCUAGCGUUGUUCGGAAUUACUGGGCGUAAAGCGCGCGUAGGCGGUCUAUCAAGUCAGAGGUGAAAGCCCUGGGCUCAACCCAGGAAUUGCCUUUGAAACUGAUAGACUUGAGUGUCGGAGGGGAUAGCGGAAUUGCUAAUGUAGAGGUGAAAUUCGUAGAUAUUAGCAGGAACACCGGUGGCGAAGGCGGCUAUCUGGACGACAACUGACGCUGAGGCGCGAAAGCGUGGGGAUCAAACAGG
rnacentral:rRNA from 1 species